AAACCAACUAUUACUUUUCUUUAUUUUGACAAUAAAAACGUAAAAAUGAAAAGGGAAAAAAAAUGCAUUUACAAUCUUGACAAAAAGUUCAAAAUAGUUAGGAAUAGAUUUAACAAGAAAAGCAGGGCCCAUAUAAAGAAAGCUAUAUGAUCCUGUGGAAGGAUUGAACAGGACAUCUAAACAAACGGGCAGACAUCCCAUGCUCCUGGAUGGAAAGACUUAACACCAUAGAAAUGUCAAAACUCCCCAGGUCAGUUCCAAACAGAGUGAAACAUUUAGACGAAAGAGUAAAUGCCUGAAAAUAGCCCAAAUGUUAGGGAAAUAAUAACGGUGCAAGAGGAUUUGAUUUAUUUGUAUCAGAACAAACUCCAAAGGCAAUCAGUGGAAUAUUAGUAUAGAAAUAGAGAAACAUAUCAGUGAAAUAUGCAGAAUAGGAAAUCUAGAAAUAGACACCAAAUGUAUAUCAGAAUUUAGACUUGUUGGAGUGAACUUUUGAUUACUUAAUAAACGAUGCUGGCACAAUUACAAUCCAUCUGAAAGCAAAUAAAUCUUUCCAUCUUCAUAAUAAUUUCAGAUUCUUUAAAGAUUUAAAUGUGGAAAAGAACACAAGAAUAAAAAGAAAAAAAUUUAGGAGCGUAUAUGAGUACUCUGAGUGAAACAAAUUGAGGAGCUAUGAAGGAAAAGCAAGGCCCCAAAAAGCACUGUAGAACAAAGGUACGUAAGUAGAGUCAAUAGACAGAUGAGAGAUGUGGAGAACAUUUGUUUUAAAAAUGCUAGAUAAAGUUAAAAACUGCAGUGUAUAAUGAGAUCUAACAAACAGACAAGAAAAUGAUAAUGCAACAGAAAAAUGAGAAGUAUAAGAAAAGAUUAUCUCAUAAGUUGUUUGUGGAAAUAUGAAACAUUAUUGUCUUUUUGAAAAGUAAUUUUAUUUUAAGAAGUAAUGUACAUACAUACAUAUUUUUAUAUAUGAUAAAUAUAUAUAUAUAUGUAUACAUCUGUCCAUUGAUGUAGAAUCUCACUUGUAAAUAUUUAUCUGACAGAAAUACAACUCCCAGAGCCUAUGGGCAUAUGAACAGGGAUGAUUUUGCAGCAUGUUUACAGUUGUAAGAAAAGAUAACGAAGUAAAUGUCCAACACUUGAAAAAUGGCUCAACGAAUUAUGGAAUCUUCACACUCUGGAAUACUGUGUCCUGUCAAAAAUGAAUCAGAGCUAUCUGAUUCUCUUCGGUGGGAUUUCCUUAAAGUAUUGUUUUAAAAAAGCAAGAUGCAGGAAACCGCAUAUAAGAGCUCAUUUUUAUAAAACAAUGAUACACGCAAAAGCACAUUUGCAUAUAAUUUAAAUAUGUCUGCCCGUGGUUACUUGAUUAUGGAGAAAACACACAGAAGGUUAGACAGGAGGAUGUUGGUAAAUUACCUAGGGCGACAGAGGAUGGUCGGUGCAAGCUGACAUGGGUGCCCCAGGAAUGGCGGAGGGAGCCAAGGCCAUCCAACCUCCCCAACUCAAAUUUUAAAGCAGAGACCUUUGGAACUUGACUCUCUUACCCUGCAGCCUAGCCAGCCCCCGACCCCCACAGGGCUUCACUCCUGGGGUCCAUCCCUUGGCCAUCCUCCCACCACCCCUUAUGGGUGGCCUUCCAUAUCCUUCUCCAUGAUUCUAGAAUGCAACAGCCAAGACACUUAGGGCAAGGCCAGACCAGGAGGGUCUCCGUGUAGGGGGACCUCAGGGUCUAGAGGGCAGCUCUUGCUCUCCUAAGGUGCUGUGACACAUUCAGGGAGUGGGGGGAAGAGGCUGGAAGGAAUAGCCAUUCACUGGCUCAACUCAAGUCCGCCUUCAGUCUCAGCUCACGGAUCCCACCCUUGGAGAGGACAUCUCUGAGUCUGCGCAUUUCAACUUCAUCUCCCUAUUAUUUCCUCUCGUGAUACUCAUCGCAAUUUGCCAUCUUGUCUUUAUUCUUGUGUGUGUGUGAGCGUGUACACGCGUGUUUAAUGCCAAUUCCCCACCCCUGCAAAAACACCAGCCCCACGAGGGGAGGGGGCUUGUACAUAGAGCGCCAUAUGCCCGUUGAAUUCGAUAACUUACGACUCACUUAUUGUCUUUCAUUGACUCACCCUUUUAUUCAUUCCUUUAUUCAUUUAUUCCCUUAUUCAUUCCAGAAACAUGUGCUAUUGGCCAGCGACUUUUCCCCUGAUCUGAGUCUUCCACUUUCUAGAGUGGCUUUGGGGAGAGAGGGCGUAGGGACGUGACUGCAGAAUUCCGGGAAUGUAUCCACAACUUGGGGGAGCUGGGUGGGUCCGAAGCACUCCAGGGAAGGAGGGAAGAUUCCAAAAGGCUAGAGGGUCAGAGGGGAAGGUGCUGGAGGGUCAGAGAGGCCGAAGCUGGGAGCGAUAGGGUGGAGGCUGGGCAGGGGGAGUCCCCUCUCAGCUCCCCCACCCCCAGGCCGGCAUCUGCCUGCUGCCCCGCCUGUGCUUUAGCCGAGGCGCUACGCUGCCUGGAGGAGGCUUCUCCAUGUCCACAUGCGGAAAUCCUACCCUUGCCUGCAGGGCCAGCCCAGAUGUCCUCGAAGUCUCCCCUCCCUCCAGCUGGAAGGGCUGCUCGCUGCUGCAAACAAACUCCCAGAACGCAGAGGCUGGAUCUCCCUCGCGGCGCUGACCACUUCCUGCCUGUGCUAUGCUGGGGCCUCUCCCUCUACCCAAUAGGCAGAAGCUCUGCCAGCCAGUUUCCAGGGACCCCACGGGGGUGGGGGCUCUCCCCGCACACUCUGAUCUAACAUGUGAGGUGGCGGGGCGGGGUCGGGGGAGACAGUGAUUACAGCCCCAUUUUACAGACAGGGAAGUGGAGGCACGGGCAAGCAGGGUGACGUGUCCUUGCUCUGAAAGCCAAGCAGCGGCGCAGCCUAGCCUCAGCCCCGUGUCUCUGGUCUCGGAGGCAGAGCUCUUUCCAGGGGGCAGCUCGGUGGGAGGUGGGAGCGGGGUGGGGUGGGGUGGGAACUGGGUCCUGAGAACCAGCAGGCCAGAGAGAUUUGGAGUUCGAAUGGCCAAGUUCAGGGAAAGCACAGCUGGGGAGGAGCCAAGGUAUUUAUUAUGCUUGGUCUCCAGCUCCAAACAGAGCUGAUGGAUGGAGCUGCUCCAGUUCCUAUAAACAGCUCGGGCCUCCCUCCCUUCACCCCUCUGCGUUCUCAGCACCACAGCCCCGACUGCUCCCAGUGAGAGGGGUGGGGGAGAGGUGGCCAAGGCAGGAGAUGCAGAAGAGAGGGUGGGGGUGGGGGGAGAGCGGGGUCCCAGAGGCAAGAGGAACGAAGGGGAACGAGGCUGGGGAGAGGAGAGGCCUCUCCCCCGGGCAGCCCACACCCUGCAGUCCCCUGUGUCCCUUGGGUCUGUCUGAACAGCCUGGCCCUCAUUCUUGGUCUGAGAGCUGAUCUUACUCCCAAAGCCUUUAGGUCCUGGAGGGCAGCACCAUCCAUCCAGGAGACGUCUCCGAACUUGCCUCAGUGCUGGUUCACGGGCCCAGGAACACAGAAAGGAUCCGGUGGGACCUCCCCCCAGGAGCUCCCAGCCUGGUGGUGGGUCAGGCAGACAUCCCAGGACUGUGGCCCAGGGCAGCCCAAGGCCGCUGGCAGCUGGAGGAGGGCAAUCAGGGCGGUCUUCCCAGAGGCGAU
rnacentral:lncRNA from 1 species